rnacentral:lncRNA from 1 species
AUUUUAUUUAAUCAUUGUAUUAUAAAUAAUAAUCAUUGGAUCAUAAAUAAUAUGAGACAUUUGCUAAAAUCAUGUGUCGCAAUAGUACCACAAAAGUUCUUUUAUACAUGGGACAACAUAAAUUAGAGAAUUAAUUAAAAAAGGCAUAUGAUAUGCCAAGAAGCUUCUAUUCUAUAAACCCUAGAGAGAAACCCAACAAUUUUGUAAUCAAAUGCUCCCAUCUUUUAGAAAUAGAGCCUGUGUAAAUAGUAGACUUGCUUAGAUUAAUAAUUUGUCUUAGUGCUUGAGCAUAUAUGUCAAAACAAUUCUUGAGAAUAUUCAUAUUAGCAAGAGUAACUUUAAAGAAAAUCAUUAAAACAUAUGCAUACAUCGCAUGAGAUGGGACUAAGGAACCUCUACAACAUCUAAUAAAAGAAUCUCAAGAAUGCCCCUACUAUGAUGUUACUCGCAUCCUAUCUCAAACUUGCACUCUGUUUAUUCUUUUGAUCUAGAUCUUUAUUAAAUUAAAUUAAGGGCAAAUUCAAGACGGAUUUGAUAAAAUCCCUCCAUUAAAGUUAUUGUUUUCGGACCCUAAAUUUUGAUUCGUUUGUAUUUUAUGAAAUUGAAAUUCCCUAUCAAUUAAAAAUUGAAAUUGCAAAUUUGUAUUGAACUCGUAGAUUUAAAAACUAGACCGGUCAUCGAACCGGUAAAAGUAAUGGGUCAGUGGGUCAUUGGUUGAAUGAUAGGGUCAUUGGUCAAACCACAUGUAAGAAUCGGAUGACUCGGACAUAUACCCGGUCUUCAUAAAGUUUUUAUCUUUGUAUUAAAUAGGAUGACUCGGGCUAUAAAAAAAAUAUAACACUAAUAAAUGAUAAGAAAAAAUAUUUUCAAAUAAAUUAAGAUGAUUUCUCGAAUAUGAUCUUCAAAUUUAAGUCUACCUACUAUGACAAUAUUAUCCUGUCAAACAAAUAAAUUAAUUCUUAUAUAUAUUCAUUAUGAGUAUAAUAAUAAAUUAGAAACACUUUAACAAAAAAAAUACAGACACUUACAAGUUUCUUUUUUCUAGAAAAAAAAAUACACGAUAAAAUGUGAACUUAAGUGAAUAAUGUUUUUCAUUUAAUAAUUUUAAAGAUAUGUAUAAUCAUUAACAACUAAUAGAAUUACACAAACAAUCUGACCAAAAAAAAAGAAUUACACAAACAAGUACCCUGGUGUGGUGGCUUCUAGCGUUAAAAUGUAUGUUAGGCUGCCAAACCUGUGCUCAAUCCUUGCCAGGUGCAAAUUUAGUUUUUUUAAUAUGUAAAAUAGUUGAUUUUCUAGAAACACGGUCGGCUCAGUAAACCUCUAGUUCGUCGGAUAUAAGCGAGUUUUUCCGGUUCAUGCCGGUUCUCACAGGUUUGAUUACAUGACCGAUCUAAUAUGUCAACCGAACCGGUUACACCUCCGGAUCACGGUUAAAGCGGUCGGUUCGGUUUUCAAAACAAUUUUGAACCAACUACUCCCAUAUUUUGUUUCUUGUCUGUCAAUUGAAACCAUCCAAAACUAACUACUCCCAUAUUUUGUUUCUUGUUCGUCAAUUGAAACCAUCGAAUCUCACUGUAUAUGAAGGUGUCUUUUACCAAGUUAUUCUAUGAGCAUUUGCUAAAAGACACCAAUUAAUUUUUAUGAAGGUGUCUUUUAGCAAAGUUAUAACUAAAAAGUAGAAAUCACACCUUGAGGUGUGUAUGGCUAAAAGACUCUUUCGUAGGUGGCUUCUAACAAAAUCCAUUGAUAAAAGAGUAAGAUAAAAAUUAAUUUUUAACUUAACUGUUAAAAUGAUUCUCUUAUGUGGUGGAGUUUGUAAAAUGUGUCAUAUGUUUGAAAUGUGUCACAUACUAUUAUAACAUGAAAUAUAAAAAUAAAUAGAAUAAAAACAUAAAUAAA